UCCCGAUGGAUAAAAAUCCAUUCUCGCACGUAAUAUACAAAGCUGAGCACAAGAUGCAAAUGGAAAACCAAUAAUCUCAGAAGAUGAAUCUCUAAAAUGAAUAGUUUGGCCACACUAGUGCCAACCAAUUGCAACACUAGAUACAGCUAAAUCAGCAAACUAAUUCCACGCUACACUAGUAGUCUGCAGUUUGUGUGUCAGAUUUCCCGGAUGGUCCUCGCCAAGGCUGCAGGAAGCGAAGCUCGAG
rnacentral:lncRNA from 1 species